rnacentral:misc_RNA from 1 species
AAAAGCUGUUGCCUACAAAUUAGAUUUGGCAAAGAAGUUGCUUGCAGAGUAUGGAUCCCAUUUUUCUUUAGUUCUCAUCGUCUAUUUGUUCGUGCGAAUUAUAUCUAGUCCAUCAUCUAAAUCAAGUUCUGGAAAUGAAAAGAAAAGACAUUGAUCGUUCAUCAGCUGUAGCAAACUUCUCUUUUGCAGAGGCAAGGCCUGAUACCUGAUCGUUCAUCAGCUGUAGCAAACUUCUCUUUUGCAGAGGCAAGGCCUGAUACC